rnacentral:rRNA from 1 species
GACGAACGCUGGCGGCGUGCUUAACACAUGCAAGUCGAACGGAAAGGCCCUGCUUUUGUGGGGUGCUCGAUUGGCGAACGGGUGAGUAACACGUGAGUAACCUGCCCUUGACUUUGGGAUAACUUCAGGAAACUGGGGCUAAUACCGGAUAGGAGCUCCUGCUGCAUGGUGGGGGUUGGAAAGUUUCGGCUGUUGUGGAUGGACUCGCGGCUUAUCAGCUUGUUGGUGGGGUAGUUGCUUACCAAGGCUUUGACGGGUAGCCGGCCUGAGAGGGUUACCGGCCACAUUGGGACUGAGGUACGGCCCAGACUCCUACGGGCGGCAGCAGUGGGGAAUCUUGCACAAUGGGCGGACGCCUGAUGCAGCAACGCCGCGUGCGGGAUGACGGCCUUCGGGUUGUAAACCGCUUUCGCCUGUGACGAAGCGUGAGUGACGGUAAUGGGUAAAGAAGCACCGGCUAACUACGUG